rnacentral:misc_RNA from 1 species
GCUCCUACCGAUUGAGUGAUCCGGUGAAUUAUUCGGACUGACGCAGUGCUCAGCUUCUGGACGUUGCGUUGGAAAGUUUCAUGAACCUUAUCACUUAGAGGAAGGAGAAGUCGUAACAAGGUAUCCGUAGGUGAACCUGCAGAAGGAUCAUUGAUCCUUCUGCAGGUUCACCUACGGCUACCUUGUUACGACUUCACCCCAGUCGCUGACCCUACCGUGGCCUGCUGCUUCCAAAAGGUUAGCACACAGUCUUCGGGUAAAACCAACUCCCAUGGUGUGACGGGCGGUGUGUACGAGACGGA